CAUGCGUCCCCAGGGUUCACCACGUGGUCCUUGAUUUGAUGCUGAGUAAGAUUAAGGCACGCGGUGAAUGCCAAGGACGCUGGC
rnacentral:pre_miRNA from 1 species